AACCAUGUAUCUAACACCCCAGAAUUCUGCCACUAAAGUGAAACACAUGAAGAAGGAGUGAUAUGAAGAAGUAAUUUGGGACAUCUUUUGUAAUGUUAUCUACUUAUUUUGUCUUUCAAGUUUUUUUGUUAUGUUCCUUAGCAUUGAAAUGUGGAAACUUCUAAAUGUAAUUAAGAAUCGGUUGCAUAACAUUUCCACUACUGUGUUUUGUUUUGGUUAACUAAUCCAUUUGCUAUUAAGACCU
rnacentral:lncRNA from 1 species